rnacentral:rRNA from 1 species
GACGAACCGUGCGAACGUUGUUCGGAAUCACUGGGCUUAAAGGGCGCGUAGGCGGCUAUGUAAGUCUUGGGUGAAAUCUUUCGGCUCAACCGGAAACGUGCCUGGGAUACUGCAUAGCUAGAGGGAGGUAGGGGCGGACGGAACUUCCGGUGGAGCGGUGAAAUGCGUUGAUAUCGGAAGGAACGCCGGUGGCGAAAGCGGUCCGCUGGACCUCUACUGACGCUGAGGCGCGAAAGCCAGGGGAGCAAACGGG